CUCUGUCUUUCUCUCUUAAAUAAUAAAUAAAUCUUUUCCUAAAAAUCUGAAGAAAAUACACUCUAGACCAAGAGAACAGCAGGAGUAAAGACUAAAAAGAGAGUCUGCUGUGGUGGAAAGCCAAACUAAGACAAAGGGCAAAGGCAGUGAUGGUUCCAGGACACCCAUGGUGGCCAGCGUCGCGCUGGGAUUGCUACAGUUUAACCCUUCCCCUGGGGCAACGAAUGCUCUCUGUUCAUGUCGUGAACCAGUUCAGGAUGGCGCGAUGGCUGAUCAACCUGGGGCAAAG
rnacentral:lncRNA from 1 species